AUCAUGAUAAAGUAAUCUGGGGUUCACAUCCAAAAUCAAUUGGCAAUGGAUGGAGUGACCCAAACUCUUAUAAACUCACUAGUAAGGUCCUAUUUUUCCCAUGUGAGAUGUAUAUACUAUGAACAGACGGAGAUAUUGCCAUGUCUUGAUUUCUGAGUUCUUCUCUUCUUAUCUGAACUUGCACACUGUUCUUUAUCUCCUCCACUCAUCCACACUGUUUCCAAGCAGAAUGAAAAUCACAGGGAGAUGAGAACCAAUUUUGGGGUCAAGCUAGUACUGAUGUUUUUGGUAAUUUUGUGCCAGUGUGAUAUCAGCUUCCUAGACGUUACAAGUUUACAACUAUAUGCAGUGCCGCCUCUAGCAUCUCAUAAUACUUGUAGCUGUUGAACCUUUAUCUCAGUAACCAGUUAUGAGACCUGUCAAUAGUGAAAACAUCUCAUAUACUUGAAAUCAGUUCUUGCAAAAAAGACUUUGUUGCAAACAAUUUGCAGUGUGCAUGUGAAGAAGGGUCUCCUAAGUCUUAACAGAGCAAGGGGAAGAUUGUCCCAAGAUUGCUGACACUGACAUUUAUCAAUAUGGAUAUGACACGGUUGCAAUGUCUUGGCACAGUUAUAAUAAUCACCUAAUAAUCUGUCAGAUGCAGCAUAAGUAAGAAAAUAUUUUUGAGGCUCUCUACUAUUGGACCUCCUGGAGAGUCACCUUCUCGGAGAGGGAAAGAGAGGUUAAUUACUUAAGACUGCUCUUAUCCCCAACAUUGUCAAGAUUUGCAUUGUCUUGAUAGUCCCGGUAGCAAUGCUUCUACUGAUGGGGAGUGGUAACUUUUUUGGUGGGAUUCCUAUGCCUUGGAGGAGGGCUAACUGAUGAAAGCUCCAUCUUCUAGGGAGCCAGAAUUUAAAAGAGCAGAAGGCAACUUCCCAGUUUGUAGUGACUAGUGAUCCAGAGUUCUUUAGUGUAUAUGUUACAGGUUUACAAUUAAAUGUGGCGCUACCACUAAAGGUGUUUUUACUUUUGUUUAGAAUAAGGAAUUGAAGAAUUAAAUGGUCUUAACUAAAGAUCAUUGCUUAUCUCUAUGUUCCAUUUGAUCCCGAGCCUUAGUUACAUUGUGGAAAAGAUGGAAAGAGAAAGGUGCAUUAUGAUGUACGAUCUCCUGAUAGUCCCUGUUGCAGUGCUGCCACUGAAGUAAUCAGCAAAGAAACUUGGUGUCAAUGGCAACAGACAACACAUGGCCAAACAGUGUUGCACUUUGAUUGUUAAGAACUGUCCUUACUGGCCCACAAGAUCCUUUCCCUUCCAUAUCACUCAAUUGAUAAGUUUUGUUCAAUGCAUAUAGUUGGAGUACUGAUUAAUUCAUGUCCAAAUAUCUUUUUAUAAAUUGGACAUUGUCUUAAAGAUUAAUACAUAAUCGCAUUCUAGUUCAAUUGAUCUGCAACCUCUAUCGCUUCCCUGUCAUUGUCAUCCAUAUAUUGGGUAUCUAUAUGUUUGUACUGAAA